rnacentral:ncRNA from 1 species
GAGGAAACCGGUGUGAAUCCGGUGCGGUCCCGCCACUGUGAUCGGCGAGCGGACCCCGAACAGACCACUGCCCGUACGCGGGUGGGAAGGCCGGGGCGAGCGUUGACCCGAGAGCCAGGAGACUC